UAGACUCCCUAUGAUGUUAUUUAUUGCAAUUAAUCAUACGUUUGGUUGUCGAUAUCGUUUUGGUUGAUGAGAUUCAGAUUUGUGUUUAAAUUUUGAAACCAGCAUUAAAGAAUGCGGCAGGAUCUAAAUCGAGUGGGAGCUCUUUGGACGAUGAUGACGUCUGUGAUUGGGGGUUUGUGGUGAGGAAGAAGAGAAGAGUGGAUGAGGUAUAUCCGAGUGGAGGUGAAGGGUCGUCGUGUACGGAGCUGGCGAGAGUGAUUUUGAAGUUGGGAGAGGUGUACGAGAGGAUCGAAGGUGCGAAGCAGAGGAUGAUGGUUGAGUUGGAGAAACAUAGGAUGGAAGUUGCUAAGGAGAUUGAGUUGCAACGAAUGAACAUGUUGAUGGAUAUGCAGAUGGAGCUUGAAAGAUCCAAGCUUGCCAAACGUAGAACUGCUGCUUCAGAAGUUGUAGGAUUAAAAUUGUGGAGGAGCUAUACUGUGGGAGAGCAAGGGAGCAAUGGUUGGAUAUGAGAGCUCAUUUGGGAUUGGAGAAACUAUUAUUAUUCUUACUCACUAGGUUUCAUGUUAGAGCAAUGCUUAUUUUUUUCUUCUUCUUAUUUUGUUUCCUUCUCUUCUUUAGCUACAUUAGUAGCAAAGCAAAUUGGUGAAAGAAACUCUGGUAGUAUCCCACAGACAUAUCAACGUGUACUUGACAUUGUCAAGUGUUAAUAUAUUAUGGUUUUUGUAUCAAUAC